CAGCAGCCACGGUAAGACAGAGGAUGCAAGCGUUAUCCGGAAUGAUUGGGCGUAAAGCGUCUGUAGGUGGCUUUUCAAGUCCGCCGUCAAAUCCCAGGGCUCAACCCUGGACAGGCGGUGGAAACUACCAAGCUAGAGUACGGUAGGGGCAGAGGGAAUUUCCGGUGGAGCGGUGAAAUGCGUUGAGAUCGAAAAGAACACCAACGACGAAAGCACUCUGCUGGGUCGACACUGACACUGAGAGACGAAAGCUAGGGGAGCAAAUGGGAUUAGAUACCCGCGUAGUCCCUGUCUCUUAUAC
rnacentral:rRNA from 1 species